AGAAGUUUUCCAUAUUUACGUAAAAAUUAGUGUAUAGAUACGUUCGGGUAAGAAUCGAAUGCUUUAAAAAUUAGCAGUCCAUCUUUUAAAUCAUCUUGCAGGAAUUAUACGACGAGAUGCAGAUCGUUGCAGAUACGCGCGCGCGCAUUAUUGUCAUAGUAGAGAGAGAGCGAGAGAGAGAAAGGGAGAGGCGAGGGGAAACGCGACACUCAAAUCUGGUCUCUCAAAAAUGAUUAAAAACUUCAUCAAUAAAUUAAAUCUAUAAAAUCUCCAAACACACACAUUUCUGAAAUUAUCAUCGCUGACAUUGAAAAUGAUUAAUAUUCUAUCUACUAAUAAAAUUUGGUAAUGAAUAUUUUUCGGAAGUAAUGUAAUCACAGGACACUCUCAUUGUAGUUAUCCAGGUCUUGUUCGCUACAAUUGUUCUUGGUCAUUUCUAUACCGUGAUUUAAAGGGGAGCCAAACACUGAUCGAUAAAAGGAUUCUUCGUAAAAGAUGUUUGACUCAUCCGGGAAUCGAACUUUGCACCCUGCUUCAGAACAUUCGAAUGCUGGUUACUGGUCGAAGAAACAUCGUCACGCGAGUAAAAUUGUGUGAAAAAUAUCAUAAAAAGUAUUUAAUCCGUGAUUAUUAACAAAGUUCACGAAAUCUAAUUUUCAGUUAACUUUUCGCCAGUUAAACACGUUUCGUUAGCAUAUUAAUAGCGUAUUGUACUUUAUUGUUUGAUAAAAACGCACAGUACGGUGCGCCAUGCGUGUAAGCUUGAUAAAAGGAACAAAUAGAAAUAGAAGAAGAAUUACCAGUUCUGCCUGGCGUAAUCAGCACGUCCACAUUUUCACAGCUCAUAACAGAUCGAUUGAAACUGAACGGUUGGAAAAUCGAUCAUAGAACGUUCCGAAAAGAGAACGCAGGAAAAGAGAAAGAGACAGAGAAUGAAAUCCAGAGUUAUUUACGCGGCUCAUUAACUUACCAACGCGAAUGACAACGACGUACUGAGUUCAAUGAAAAUUCUCAAAUCGAGUUACACGCGAGCAAACAACACGAAAAUAUGGCGAGAAUAGCAACGACGAUAAGAAGGCUGCAGGGGUCAUUCGCGUGACGAUGAUAGAUUAGAAGGAAAAGUACACAGAGAAAUUUGAUAUAAUCAAGAAUCAAUUAAACCAAAAUAUCCUUUACAGUCUCAUGAAUGAAAGAGAAAAUAUAAAUUUUCUGGAAAAAUGGAUUUUUAUUUUAUGAGAGAGGAUGAUGAUAUAAAUUUAAUACAACCGAUGACAGACCAUAUGCGUCUUAGAAAGAAACUUGCCAAAAUAUGUUGGAAAGAAAUCGGCCAAUUAAAAAGAUAACCUUGUAUAUAAAAAUGAAAUAAUGGAAACAAUAAAAAAGAAAAUAAAUAACUGGAAAGUAACAUUUACGGAUUUAAAGCAAAGAAGAUAAAUGAAUAAAGAUUAAUAUGGAAUUGAAGUAUAAAAUAAUCUCGAAUAUCUCUAUAAUAAAACUCGAAUUUGAAAUAAGAUGGAUUCUUAAUCCACGGAACCAAAUAACUCGGGACAGAUAAAAAGCGAUAGAAAAGCUUUUUAAUCUUGAAAUAUAUUACCACCUUGCUAAUGAUUAAAAACACAAGUCUUUAUGACAGAAUAGGAAAUAUACUGUUAUCAGUAAGAUGUUUUGACAGUCGUUAUCUAUGUAAGUCUCGGCAGCAUGGAUGAAGGAAGUGUAUAGAAAAAUAUCACACGCGAUUUUCUUGAGUAAUUCUGAUCAAACGAGCAUCAAAACAUAAACUGUAAUCGUUCAAAUGUGAAAAACUAUGGUACAACGGCGAAAAUGCAGAAGUUUACUUUUUCAAAACCAUAAAAUCACUCACAAUCAUGAUGGAAAUAUAUAAAGUUAAACCAGUUAUUUUCGCGUAAUAUGAUCGAGCCGCCUCUGAUAAUGCGUAGGCUGUUGGUACGGCCUUGGCGAUCUUGUGAAUACCGUAAAAUUUUGUGCCUUAGAGUCGGGUGGCUCGUCUGAGAUAAUAAUAAGUGGACUGCAGAUGUUCGUGCAAAUUCAUAUUUCUAUGAAUACAUAUAAUUAAAAAGAAUAAAAACUAAAUACACAUUCAUUUCAUCAGUUACAUAUUGUAAUUAUCUUGAAUAUUUUAUAUAUUUUUAUAUAUCAUGUGCAUUUUUACACCUUUAUGUUUCCCAUAAAUAAAUAAAUUUUCUCAGUAUAAUAAAGCACUUCAUUUAUUAUAAAAUAUUAACGAUUAUGCGAUAGUGAAUUCGACAUAUGUUUCAUGGGCAUAUUGCGUAUGCAUUUAAUGAUACACUGCCCAAAAUAAUUGAACAAUAAUUUAGUCUAUUGAAAAUAAUUAAAUUUCUUAUAAC